rnacentral:rRNA from 1 species
AGAGUUUGAUCCUGGCUCAGAAUCAACGCUGGCGGCGUGCCUCAGACAUGCAAGUCGAACGCGAAAGGUUCCUUCGGGAACCGAGUAGAGUGGCGCACGGGUGAGUAACACGUAGGUAAUUUGCCUUUGGGUGGGGAAUAACUCAGGGAAACUUGAGCUAAUACCGCAUAAUGCAGCGGCUCGACAUCNANACAGUUGUUAAAGCGGGGGAUCGCAAGACCUCGCGCCUAAAGAGAAGCCUGCGGCAGAUUAGCUAGUUGGUAGGGUAAUGGCCUACCAAGGCGACGAUCUGUAACCGGCCUGAGAGGGCGGUCGGUCACACUGACACUGACAUACGGGUCAGACUCCUACGGGAGGCAGCAGUCGGGAAUUUUGGACAAUGGGCGAAAGCCUGACCCAGCAACGCCGCGUGAAGGAUGAAAUUUUUCGGAAUGUAAACUU